AUUGAACGCUGGCGGCAGGCCUAACACAUGCAAGUCGAGCGGAUGAAGGGAGCUUGCUCCUGGAUUCAGCGGCGGACGGGUGAGUAAUGCCUAGGAAUCUGCCUGGUAGUGGGGGAUAACGUCCGGAAACGGGCGCUAAUACCGCAUACGUCCUGAGGGAGAAAGUGUGGGAUCUUCGGACCUCACGCUAUCAGAUGAGCCUAGGUCGGAUUAGCUAGUUGGUGGGGUAAAGGCCUACCAAGGCGACGAUCCGUAACUGGUCUGAGAGGAUGAUCAGUCACACUGGAACUGAGACACGGUCCAGACUCCUACGGGAGGCAGCAGUGGGGAAUAUUGGACAAUGGGCGAAAGCCUGAUCCAGCCAUGCCGCGUGUGUGAAGAAGGUCUUCGGAUUGUAAAGCACUUUAGGUUGGGAGGAAGGGCAGUAAGUUAAUACCUUGCUGUUUUGACGUUACCAACAGAAUAAGCACCGGCUAACUUCGUG
rnacentral:rRNA from 1 species